AAGUCAGGCCCUGAGGAGGGAUUGCGGCUGAGCCUGGUGACCCAAGCAUGGACGAAGGAAGGGGCUGCCCUGCCACCUCCCGCUGGGCCACACACGCCCUCCCUGAUUUACUGACACCAAGUGACCGCUGCCCUCCAGUUGCUAGGACAAGGGGAGUCAGACGGGCGCCUGUAGACCGCAGCUGGGGUAGCAGUUGGCGAUGGGUUGCUAGGCAAAAAUAAACAUCAGAGACACCUCCCAUUUCUUUACAACUCCUAGCCUCUCCCCAGCACCGCCACUGGGAGAGACACGACACACCUUUUCAGCAGCUAUCGGCGGUCCACAAGGGAUGGUAGUGAUAUGUGCAGUAAUUUUCUCAGCAGAAUGUGCCACAGCGGUGAGCCACAGUUCCCAGGCAGGAGUGGCAUCUCAAGGGGACACUAAAGGGACUGUCCGCAAAGAGUGAGCUGAGGGCCACUAAUAUCCUGAAACCAAGAACAUGCCGAAAACAUCCAUAGACAUCCAUGGGGCUGCAUACGUUGGUGGCAACUUCACCGUCUUUCCAAUGACAGCAUCGAGUCUCCAGGACACAGUGGAAGAAAAGAAGGAAUUUUAUAAACCUAGGUGAAUACAGGUGGUGCUGUGAUCUCAG